rnacentral:rRNA from 1 species
GAUGAACGCUAGCGACAGGCCUAACACAUGCAAGUCGAGGGGUAUGGCAGCAAUGCCAGAGACCGGCGCACGGGGGAGUAACGCGUAUGCGACCUGCCUGUUACAGGGGGGUAGCUUCGGAAACGGAAAGUCAGACCGCAAAACACAAAGGUAUCGUCUGGUAUUUUUGUCAAAUAUUCAUAGGUAACAGAUGGGCAUGCGUGGCAUUAGGUAGUUGGCGGGGUAACGGCCCACCAAGCCCGCGAUGCCUAGGGGUUCUGAGAGGAAGGCCCCCCACACUGGUACUGAGACGCGGACCAGACUCCUGCGGGAGGCAGCAGUGAGGAAUAUUGGGCAAUGGGCGAGAGCCUGAACCAGCCAUGUCGCGUGCAGGACGACGGCCCUACGGGUUGUAAACUGCUUUUGUACGGGAAGAAAAAAGGCCACGUGUGGCCACUUGCCGGUACCGUACGAAUAAGGAUCGGCUAACUACGUGCCAGCCGCCGCAGUAAUAC